rnacentral:rRNA from 1 species
UACGGAAGGGGCGAGCGUUGUUCGGAAUCACUGGGCGUAAAGCGCGCGUAGGCGGCUUUGCAAGUGCGGCGUGAAAGUCCUGGGCUCAACCUGGGGACGGCGCUGCGGACUGCAUGGCUGGAGUCCGGAAGAGGGUGGUGGAAUUCCGAGUGUAGAGGUGAAAUUCGUAGAUAUUCGGAAGAACACCAGUGGCGAAGGCGACUCACUGGACAGGUAUUGACGCUGAGGUGCGAAAGCGUGGGGAGCAAACAGG